CAAAGUAGACUUCUAUGACUUUAAAUGGAUAAACACUCAGCUCCCGCCGGAUAAAAGAUAGCUAUAUGUGAGCUAACAAGUGUUUAAAAGUGAGGAAACACUCAAAAGAUGUGUAUGUAGAGUAAAAAGGACAGGGCUUCCUAGCCUUUUCUCUCUCUCCUCCUCUUCAAAUGGAUGACCCCAAGGCUUGUAGUACGUGCACUCGUGUACUAUAAUGUCCACUCGAACUUACAGAACUUCAAUCCGAGCAUCCGAACGAGGUAUAUCUGACCUUCUUUGGACUGCUUGUGUCGAGAGUUACACAAUGAUAUGGAUU
rnacentral:lncRNA from 1 species